UUUAUGGAGAGUUUGAUCCUGGCUCAGGAUGAACGCUGGCGGUGUGCCUAAUACAUGCAAGUCGAGCGAACGGACGAGAAGCUUGCUUCUCUGAUGUUAGCGGCGGACGGGUGAGUAACACGUGGAUAACCUACCUAUAAGACUGGGAUAACUUCGGGAAACCGGAGCUAAUACCGGAUAAUAUUUUGAACCGCAUGGUUCAAAAGUGAAAGACGGUCUUGCUGUCACUUAUAGAUGGAUCCGCGCUGCAUUAGCUAGUUGGUAAGGUAACGGCUUACCAAGGCAACGAUGCAUAGCCGACCUGAGAGGGUGAUCGGCCACACUGGAACUGAGACACGGUCCAGACUCCUACGGGAGGCAGCAGUAGGGAAUCUUCCGCAAUGGGCGAAAGCCUGACGGAGCAACGCCGCGUGAGUGAUGAAGGUCUUCGGAUCGUAAAACUCUGUUAUUAGGGAAGAACAUAUGUGUAAGUAACUGUGCACAUCUUGACGGUACCUAAUCAGAAAGCCA
rnacentral:rRNA from 1 species